ACGACCAUACCACAUUGAAAACCGCGGUUCUCGUUAUCACCAAAGUUAAGCAAUGUCGGGCCUGGUCAGUACUUGGGAGAGUCACCACCUGGAAACACGGGUGGUUCUGUAAGCU